rnacentral:rRNA from 1 species
GAUGAACGCUGGCGGCGUGCUUAACACAUGCAAGUCGAACGAUGAAGCCCAGCUUGCUGGGUGGAUUAGUGGCGAACGGGUGAGUAACACGUGAGUAACCUGCCCUUAACUCUGGGAUAAGCCUGGGAAACUGGGUCUAAUACCGGAUAGGAGCGUCCACCGCAUGGUGGGUGUUGGAAAGAUUUAUCGGUUUUGGAUGGACUCGCGGCCUAUCAGCUUGUUGGUGAGGUAAUGGCUCACCAAGGCGACGACGGGUAGCCGGCCCGAGAGGGUGACCGGCCACACUGGGACUGAGACACGGCCCAGACUCCUACGGGAGGCAGCAGUGGGGAAUAUUGCACAAUGGGCGCAAGCCUGAUGCAGCGACGCCGCGUGAGGGAUGACGGCCUUCGGGUUGUAAACCUCUUUCAGUAGGGAAGAAGCGAAAGUGACGGUACCUGCAGAAGAAGCACCGGCUAACUACGUG